rnacentral:lncRNA from 1 species
AAGGAUCUCUUCCUGGAGGUAGCUUCCUGUGGAGUUUUUGUGAGCCUACAACACCACUGAGAGGAAGUCUGGCCUAUAAAGGGAAGACAAGGUGACACAUCUCUGUUUUCUUCCAUCAAGCUUGGAGAGCCAUGAAGGUGGCUUCGUACUGCUGUUUGUCUUGUUUCUACAACACCUUCUUUUCAUCUACUGGGCAUGGUAAUGAAAGCCUACUUGGGAAUGGUACUUGAAAAACCAAAAAGCAGACCAUCCCAGCUGACACCAGAAACACCAAUGCGCAGAAGAGGGAUAAUGGCAGCACUGACCUCUUGUGAGGCUGCACUGAUCUACAUGGGCUGAAGAUCCAUCCUCCCAGUCACCUCUGGUAUGCUGCUGGUUAAUGCUAGCAGGGCAUCUGCGUCUCCUGUAAAGGAACAACACCUCUGGGCUCUCUCUUACCAUUUCAAAGAGCACAGGCAUAUGCCGCAAUUAUAUAGUGCUGCUGAGAAAAAAAACAGCAUGUGAGUGAAUCCCUGUUGUUAGCAGAGCAAGUGCUGGGGCUCACACAAGCAAUCCACCAGAGCUCUGCUGCAAAUGGCUACCGCUGCCCUUCCCUUGCUCCUACCCAAUGACUAGAGAUCGCAUCCUGCUCUACUGUUCUCCAGCAGCCUGAGAAAGACCAGGCACAAAAAAAUUGUCAGCCAGAUUGGCCCUGACAUGCAUCAUAUGCUUUUCUGCACCCGUGAACUGCCUGCUUCUCUCACCAGCCUUUCUGUGGUUCAUCCUGAAAAGCAGGUGCGUUAGCAUCUUUGUGUAAAGCUGAGGAGACAAUAAACAGUCAGAUUUGCCAGGUAUAGCUGUUGUUCACUGAGAGGAGGGAUCAGAGGAUUUUCUCUGCACCUCUCUCCUUCUCGCCACCUGUCCUGAAUGUGUCAUACAGUGGCUAUAAAGGACUUCUUGUAAAUAAUUUCCCUGCAGUUGGAAGAUGCCCCAGAGCUCACAUUACUCACACUUGUUAAAGCCGAGCAGAGAGCAGAAUAUCCCUCCACUGUCAUGAGUCUUUGGACUGGCUUUCCUCACACUGUAGCCAGCUAACUCCACAUUUCCAGAUGAAGAAGAUUCUCACAUGUUCCAGAAAGGCUCCUGAGCCCUAUUCCUGCUCCUCCAAGCUACAGAGACUUGUAGGAUGGAGUAAAUCUCCCUUUUUCUACCAUACAGUUUUGGACAUGCUAAAAUUGGUCUAUAAAACUUAGGACUAAUGAUCCAGUUUCCAACUUUAUAUUUCUUUAAUUUAUCUAUGUACAGAUAAGUUAUGGCACUGAGAUCCUUAACUAGUGCAUAUGGAAGCCACAGGCAGUUGUUAGGUGCCUGUGCUGAGUCAAAUGCCUAAAUACUUAAAGGGCAUCUAAGGUGUAUGCUUGUUCAGGUUAAAAUGUGCUCAGCUGCAGAGUCAAACAGCAUCUGGUGCAAUUUAACCUUGAUCACAAGCUGCCUUGUGAGAGAAGGCACUGGUUGCAUUCCUGUUAUUGUGUGCCAAUAAUACUAUAUAACUAAUAAAUAUAUUUCCUCUUACUGGGCUAUUAAGUAGCUAUUUUCCUCUGAGUUUGAUCCUUACUCGGGACACAAAACUUAAGGGCAAAGUGUUAUCAUUGCUAAACAUCAGUGAAGAGAUUACCUUUCUAUAAAGUAAUCUCAUCUCUGCCCUGAGUCAAGAACCUCAGCAUGGCAUUGCACAUCACUCUCCGGUUCUGCCAUCCAGGUUCAAUCUGACUCCUUGCCACUGCCAUUUUGAGUGUAAAAGCACUUCUUGUGAGAACAUAAAUUGGAUCCCCACAGCUACGGGAAAGACACGAGAACCCACUGUGACUGUACAGCCCUGCUCUGCCAUUUUCAUCUCCUACCAAUGUGUCUCCUGAAAAGUACUGCUGCUGCGGGGAGGACAACUGUGGUUCAGACAGAAACAGGAGGAAGACAAAAGGGUGAGGUUUGACAUGAAGAAAUAUUCUCCGGAAGGGGGGAUCCCAGGGACGUCUGCAUGCAAAAAGAUACAAGCCACUGUCUGCAUGAGAACAAGGAAGAUAAUGAGUGGAGUAAGACAAGGAUCAAAGGCAAAGAUAGACCAGACUGCUUGUUUGCCACCCCAGCACCUAGAUGAGCACUGAGGGAGAUCUAGCUUCUGACACGAGGAAUGCAAACUCUACUUGGUCUGUAGUAUCCAGUACAGCCAUAUCUCAUAUGAGGUCAGAAAUCUGAACUUGCUCUAACAAAUGUGCAGAUUAGAAUCAUGGGAAAUUAUAGUAAUAUGCAAGAUGAGUACCUCUGAAUACUAAAUUGAAGCGCACCAUUGGAAUAAUACUAUCAUAACAAAACCCAGUGAAAUGUGCAGCUUUUUGAAUAAUAUCAUUCUCCAAUUUAGAUCCAAGAACAACUUCUCAUUAUCCAGCCCUUCUUCUCAGUACCCCCUGUGAAGAGACGAGCCGGGAAUGUGAAAGAACAAAAAGGCUGAGAUCACAGUGAGCAUAUGCCUGUGGUUGUUUAAGGCUGUUCACAAAUUGGUUAAUAAGCUUUGCGUUAUGGUUUUAUUUUAUUUUAACCUGUUCCAUAUAUCAAGUUUUGUAAUGUACCAUUCAAGUCCAAUUUACAC